rnacentral:rRNA from 1 species
GCAUAUCAAUAAGCGGAGGAAAAGAAACCAACCGGGAUUGCCUUAGUAACGGCGAGUGAAGCGGCAAAAGCUCAAAUUUGAAAUCUGGUACCUUCGGUGCCCGAGUUGUAAUUUGGAGAGGGCAACUUUGGGGCCGUUCCUUGUCUAUGUUCCUUGGAACAGGACAUCAUAGAGGGUGAGAAUCCCGUGUGGCGAGGAGUGCGGUUCUUUGUAAAGUGCCUUCGAAGAGUCGAGUUGUUUGGGAAUGCAGCUCUAAGUGGGUGGUAAAUUCCAUCUAAAGCUAAAUAUUGGCGAGAGACCGAUAGCGAACAAGUACAGUGAUGGAAAGAUGAAAAGAACUUUGAAAAGAGAGUGAAAAAGUACGUGAAAUUGUUGAAAGGGAAGGGCAUUUGAUCAGACAUGGUGUUUUGUGCCCUCUGCUCCUUGUGGGUAGGGGAAUCUCGCAUUUCACUGGGCCAGCAUCAGUUUUGGUGGCAGGAUAAAUCCAUAGGAAUGUAGCUUGCCUCGGUAAGUAUUAUAGCCUGUGGGAAUACUGCCAGCUGGGACUGAGGACUGCGACGUAAGUCAAGGAUGCUGGCAUAAUGGUUAUAUGCCGCCCGUCUUGAAACACGGACC